rnacentral:rRNA from 1 species
UACCAGACUCCUACGGGAGGCAGCAGUGGGGAAUAUUGCACAAUGGGGGAAACCCUGAUGCAGCGACGCCGCGUGAGUGAAGAAGUAUUUCGGUAUGUAAAGCUCUAUCAGCAGGGAAGAAAGAAAUGACGGUACCUGACUAAGAAGCCCCGGCUAACUACGUGCCAGCAGCCGCGGUAAUACGUAGGGGGCAAGCGUUAUCCGGAUUUACUGGGUGUAAAGGGAGCGUAGACGGUUAUGUAAGUCUGGAGUGAAAGCCCGGGGCCCAACCCCGGGACUGCUUUGGAAACUGUGUAACUGGAGUACAGGAGGGGCAGGCGGAAUUCCUGGUGUAGCGGUGAAAUGCGUAGAUAUCAGGAGGAACACCGGCGGCGAAGGCGGCCUGCUGGACUGAAACUGACGUUGAGGCUCGAAAGCGUGGGGAGCAAACAGGAUUAGAUACCCCGGUA